AAGAAGCGGAACUGUUGAAAAAGAAGGAGUUGUCAUUAUAGCAGUUGGCAUCGGGAACGCUGUUGACAGCUCUGAGCUUCAAGGGAUGGCCAGUGAUUCAAGUAAAGUGUUUACAGCUGAGAAUUACGAGUUACUGGACGUCAUCAAGAAUAAACUUGUUAAUUUUACAUGUGACAAAGCCAGUGGUCUCUAAAGAGCUCUGACACAACAUGAAUUCGUUGUAAUAAUAAUAAAAUGAACUUUAUUGGGGCUAGUA
rnacentral:sRNA from 1 species